rnacentral:tRNA from 1 species
UGGCUCAGUAGUAGAGUGCAUGCCUUGCAUGCAUGAGGCCCUGGGUUCGAUUCCUCAG